rnacentral:rRNA from 1 species
AGUGGACGCUGGCGGUAGGCCUAACACAUGCAAGUCGAACGGCAGCACAGUAAGAGCUUGCUCUUACGGGUGGCGAGUGGCGGACGGGUGAGGAAUACAUCGGAAUCUACUUUUUCGUGGGGGAUAACGUAGGGAAACUUACGCUAAUACCGCAUACGACCUACGGGUGAAAGCAGGGGAUCUUCGGACCUUGCGCGAUUGAAUGAGCCGAUGUCGGAUUAGCUAGUUGGCGGGGUAAAGGCCCACCAAGGCGACGAUCCGUAGCUGGUCUGAGAGGAUGAUCAGCCACACUGGAACUGAGACACGGUCCAGACUCCUACGGGAGGCAGCAGUGGGGAAUAUUGGACAAUGGGCGCAAGCCUGAUCCAGCUAUACCGCGUGGGUGAAGAAGGCCUUCGGGUUGUAAAGCCCUUUUGUUGGGAAAGAAAAGCAGCAGGUUAAUACCCCGCUGUUCUGACGGUACCCAAAGAAUAAGCACCGGCUAACUUCGUG